rnacentral:rRNA from 1 species
UACGAGUGCCCCGAGCGUUAUCCGGAAUUAUUGGGCGUAAAGGGUGUGUAGGUGGUCUUGUUAGUCUUCUGUUAAAGCUCCCGGCUUAACCGGGAAAGUGCAGAGGAAACGGCAAGACUAGAGGAUGUGAGAGGUUUGCGGAACUCAUGGUGUAGGGGUGAAAUCCGUUGAUAUCAUGGGGAACACCAAAAGCGAAGGCAGCAAACUGGCGCAUUCCUGACACUGAAACACGAAAGCGUGGGUAGCGAAUGGG